GAUAUACUGUAUACCUGGGCUAAAUAGAAACCUGUAUCUCUUUACAACUGAAUACAGUAUAGAAUUCAAUGAAAAUGAAUUUCCCUGUUAAAUAUAAGUAAUGAAAUGUCAACUUACGGUUGGUAAACCAAGACGAUAUUUAAGAUGUGUCAAGAUUUACAUGACAUUUAGAAAGCCUGCCAACAAGAAAUACGCCAAAAACACAAGUCAACAAAAUUAGUUAUGAUUGAUUGAUCAUUGUUUAACGCUUUCUGUACUAUUCAAAAUAGCUAUUUCGCCAUUCAAUGAGAUAGACGUAGUGCCCGGAGUGUACCACGAACCUUAUCGAAUAAAACUGACUUUCAAUACUAGUCAAUUACGAUUGGAAACGAACACACCC
rnacentral:lncRNA from 1 species